rnacentral:misc_RNA from 1 species
UUCGAGCGUCAUUUCAACCAAUCAAGCCUCGGCUUGGUCUUGGAGUUUGCGGUCCCGCAUCCCCUAAACUCAGUGGCGGUGCGAUUGAGCUCUGAGCGUAGUAAUUUUUCUCGCUAUAGGGUCUCGGUCGUUACUUGCCAUCAACCCCCUAUUUUUAUCAGGUUGACCUCGGAUCAGGUAGGGAUACCCGCUGAACUUAA